GUUGGAUUUGUGGUUGGGUUCGUCGGUCCGGCACAUUGUGCGGGUACUUGAUGGACUCGUCCAUCCUUGGGUGGAAUCUGUGUGGCAUUAAGUUGUCGUGCAGGGGAUGCCCAUCGUUUACUGUGAAAAAAUUAGAGUGUUCAAAGCAGGCUUAUGCCGUUGAAUAUAUUAGCAUGGAAUAAUGAGAUAGGACCUUGGUACUAUUUUGUUGGUUUGCGCACCGAGGUAAUGAUUAAUAGGGACAGUUGGGGGUAUUCGUAUUCCAUUGUCAGAGGUGAAAUUCUUGGAUUUUUGGAAGACGAACUACUGCGAAAGCAUUUACCAAGGAUGUUU
rnacentral:rRNA from 1 species